UGUCUGAGUGGAGCCAUGCAGAGGACCUGCUCGCUCAUCCAUGUCACCCUGUUCUGGGCAGGAGCCAUGUCAGCUAUGGUGUUGGUGUCUCAAGACCAAGUAGUGACUGUGUCCUUUGGAGAGUCUGCCACCCUCAGGUAUUCAAUGGAAGAAGAAAUGACCAAGAAUUACUAUAUCAUCUUGUACAGGAAGACCCAGGAUAACAUAAUGACUUACAUACACCGAGAAGGAGGCCUGUAUGGCCCUGGUUUCUUGAACAAGUUCCGAGCUUACACUGAUGAUUCAAACAACCAGGCUGUACUUGAGAUCCUUAAAGCAUCAGAGAGAGAUGAAGGAGUUUACUACUGUGCCAGCGACUACCACCCUCAUUCACCAAGUCAGAUGUUUUUUGGAGCUGGCACCGAGCUCUUCGUGGAGCCCAAAAUUCAGCCUAUUGCCAAACCAUCUGUUUUCGUCAUGAGAAAUGGGACAAAUGUUGCUUGUCUGGUGAAGGAUUUCUACCCCAAGAGUAUAAAUAUAAAUCUCCAGUCAUCCAAGAAAAUAAUAGAAUAUGACCCAGCUAUCGUCGUCUCUCCCAGUGGGAAGUACAAUGCUGUCAAGCUUGGUCAAUAUGGAGAUUCUAAUUCAGUGAAAUGUUCGGUUGAACACAACAAUGAAAUUGUGAGUUCCACUGAGACUGAACAGACAACUCAACCUCCAGAUGACCUAAAACCAACGGAACCUCAAAUCAUACAGCAAACCUCAGAGAGCUGCCAUGAACCCAAAGCUCUUGCCAGGAAAGUGAACAUGACGUCCCUUACCAUCCUCGGGCUCCGAUUGCUGUUCAUCAAGGCUGUUGCUGUCAAUUUUCUCUUGACUGCCAAGUUAUUUUUCUGUUAAGGCUGACUGGCAGGAGAAGGCUACGCACUCUGAAUGAAUCCAAAAGCCUACAGAACUGCUCUCUCUAUGGCUCCCAACUUCUCGGUAAUUCAAGUUAACCCAUCCCAGCUUUGCUUAAAUGGCUGCUACCCAAACAAGUUUUUCUUUGAAGGCAACAAUCCCAGCUCAUCCUCCAGCCUGGUGGGAAGACAAAGUCCUGGGGGUGGGGGUCGGUGGCCUGAAGUGCUUUAUAUGCUGCUUUAUAAAUGGGUAUAGAGAUACAAAGGGACAGAGGGCUUGUUUUUUAUUUCUACAGCUGAUACACUUUGAAAAUGGUGUCUUGUUCCUUUUACUUUGCCUUCAGAAAUAAAAAGUAGAAGCCAA